UUACUGCUGAAGAGUCCCAAACUAGGACGAAACAGCUAUCCAGUAC
rnacentral:hammerhead_ribozyme from 1 species